CAGCCGCCGCGGUAAUACGAAGGGUGCAAGCGUUACUCGGAAUUACUGGGCGUAAAGCGCACGCAGGCGGUCUGUCAAGUCAGAUGUGAAAUCCCCGGGCUUAACCUGGGAACUGCAUUUGAAACUGGCAGGCUAGAGUCUUGUAGAGGGGGGUAGAAUUCCAGGUGUAGCGGUGAAAUGCGUAGAGAUCUGGAGGAAUACCGGUGGCGAAGGCGGCCCCCUGGACAAAGACUGACGCUCAGGUGCGAAAGCGUGGGGAGCAAACAGGAUUAGAUACCCCGGUAGUCCCUGUCUCUAUACC
rnacentral:rRNA from 1 species